GAAGAAAUAAAUAAAAAUAAAUGCUCCUUAUAAUAGGAUAUGAUUAAUUUCAGAAUCAUUAUUUAUUUAAGCUUUACAAAACAAUUUCUGGAUUCUGAAUACUUGUCAUAUCUUUUUUUUUUUUUUUUUUAAUAAUUCUAAUCGUGAAAAAAGUGUAAAAAAGUAAUUAAUGACAAAGGAACAAACAAGAAAAUAAUGAAGAUCGUUCGUGUAUAUUUUUCCUUUUUAUCCCCGUCACAUUUAAUUGACGUACCUUUAAUUGAGAAUCGACAGAUAUAAACAAAAAUAAAACCUGGUAGCUGGUCCAUCUCUAUUUAGUGGUCACGUUGAGAUGCCAUGUCCAGAGAACGUUCUCAUGGAUCCAGCUCGCGGCUUAAUAUCACUGCUUGUUGGAUGUUAGCAUAAGCAAACACAGGGGGCUCGAAUAGUAACCCCGUGUGGAUAAAUUGUCGGCCUAUCGAAAAGUAGAAGAAUGAAAAGGACGAAAGCUGCUCGAGCAAUGACUGCCUUUAACAAAAGGACCCCUUUUCAAUAGCUUUUUAUCUUGCAAUAAGUACUUUCAAAAGAAUAAAUUUUCUGAAUUUU